GAUGAACGCUGGCGGCGUGCCUAAUACAUGCAAGUCGAGCGAACGGACGAGAAGCUUGCUUUUCUGAUGUUAGCGGCGGACGGGUGAGUAACACGUGGAUAACCUACCUAUAAGACUGGGAUAACUUCGGGAAACCGGAGCUAAUACCGGAUAAUAUUUUGAACCGCAUGGUUCAAAAGUGAAAGACGGUCUUGCUGUCACUUAUAGAUGGAUCCGCGCUGCAUUAGCUAGUUGGUAAGGUAACGGCUUACCAAGGCAACGAUGCAUAGCCGACCUGAGAGGGUGAUCGGCCACACUGGUACUGAGACACGGUCCAGACUCCUACGGGAGGCAGCAGUAGGGAAUCUUCCGCAAUGGGCGAAAGCCUGACGGGGCAACGCCGCGUGAGUGAUGAAGGUCUUCGGAUCGUAAAACUCUGUUAUUAGGGAAGAACAUAUGUGUAAGUAACUGUGCACAUCUUGACGGUACCUAAUCAGAAAGCCACGGCUAACUACGUG
rnacentral:rRNA from 1 species